rnacentral:tRNA from 1 species
AGCGCCGUGGAGCAGCUCGGAAGCUCACUGGGCUCAUAACCCAGAGGCCGUCAGUUCAAAUCUGACCGGCGCCA